AACGAACGCUGGCGGCGUGCUUAACACAUGCAAGUCGAACGCGAAAGGGACUUCGGUCCCGAGUAGAGUGGCGCACGGGUGAGUAACGCGUAAGUAAUCUACCCCUGUAUCUGGAAUAACCCACCGAAAGGUGAGCUAAUACCGGAUACGUUUAUCUUGAUGCGAAUGAUGAUAAAGAAAGGUGGCCUCUUCAUGAAAGCUACCGUACAGGGACGAGCUUGCGUACCAUUAGCUGGUUGGUAGGGUAAUGGCCUACCAAGGCGACGAUGGUUAGCGGGUCUGAGAGGAUGAUCCGCCACACUGGAACUGAAACACGGACCAGACUCCUACGGGAGGCAGCAGUGAGGAAUAUUGCGCAAUGGGGGCAACCCUGACGCAGCGACGCCGCGUGGACGAUGAAGGCCCUUGGGUCGUAAAAUCCUGUCAGAUGGAAAGAAAUGUACAGGUGUUAAUAUCGCCUGUAUUUGACGGUACCAUCAAAGGAAGCACCGGCUAACUCCGUGCAGCAGCCCGCGUAAUACGGAGGG
rnacentral:rRNA from 1 species